ensembl:lncRNA
AUGCUCAAGGAAAGCUACUUAAAACUCUUUGGAUAUGCUUGGGAAAUGCCUCGAGUUACAGUGCUAUGUUAUUUCUGUUUAGAUAUUUGUGCAUUCCUAGGUACGAGAGUAUUUAAUCAAUACUAUGAAAAAUCCUGUCUGGGUAGACAAGAGCUGUGGUUUUGCAAAGUAACUCAUUUAAAAAAUACCAAGGGUUGAAUGUGGUGACAUAGGGCUGCUGGGUCCCAUGCACAGUUUAAGGAGUUAAGUUCCAGCAGGAAUCUGUGGAAGAUCCUGGUUUGGGCUGGUGUUGGGAUGCAGGCCUGUGUCUGAGGUUCCCAAGCAUCUGAAACCUCAAGUACUACUGUAACAGUAAUAAGCUAUAGGAUAGGCUUUGAAUGAAAUUGCAUCUAUUAAAAUUAGUUUUGUAGCCACAAGAUGCUGUCCUUUCCUAUACCUGGCAAAGUCCCUGCAUGUGGAGUGUUUUGUUGUUCCUGUUUAAUUGCUAAGGCUCUCUGUUGGCUCUUGCUGUUAUUUUUAGAAUGUUUACUGAAGAAUAUUCCAAAUGUUGCUGAUAGUGAGGCUCAAGAAGGUGAAUUCCCUGAUAUCUCUCACUAUGAAAAAGAUGUUAGUGGAUCUCCAGUUGAAUCUGUUUACUUCUGCUCGGAUCUGGAAGACUCGGAUGGUGAAGCAUCCAGUAUUCCUGAGGUUGCAACUUUUCCUGAGCUUCAAACUGCUGCUGAGUAUGAGGUGGAGGACUGGGAUAAGGAAUUGGAGGAUUCUGAAUUUAAUCCUUAUGAUGCUGGUGAUCUCCACUGUGGAAGCUUUCAGGAAAAUAAUCUUUUGGCCUCAUAUUCAUGGCGAGAGGAUUCGGUGUACAACCCAGGGUGUCACCAUGCAGCUCGCGUUGCUUUUACAUCGCCAAUUAGAAUGACUGAGACUGGCCAGUUUGAUGAUGCUGAAGAAUGAGGUUGCCCCUGGUCAGAAUUAAGUUUGGCUUCUGAGCUGGACUGUGUUCCUCACUGAUUAAGUCAUGUCAAGCCCUUUGGCUUGCUUGCGGAAUUCUGUAUAAGGUCAGAAGUGCCACACCAUCUCCGAAGUGUUUCUUAGACUGUUCCUGGGGUGUGUAUAAGCUGGCCAUGCUUGAUCUCUAGGAACCAGAGUGCAGGUGCUGGCUGUAAGGAGUCAGUCAUUUCUGGACUGCUCUUUGUGUUAUAUAGCUCUAUAUUGUUGCUGAUGAACUACUUGGGAGGAAGUAUCUGAUUUCUAAACAUCAGCUUGAUUGCCAAGUUUAGCCAGUUUUAACAUGCUGAUCCCAGUGUGUCAGCCUAUGUAACUUGUAGUUUUCUUUCCUUUGCAUUUGAUGCUAUCAAAUUGGUUCAGAUAGCUUUAAAAACUCUUCCUCCUUUCAACUUCUGUAUUGUAAUUCUAUGUUGCAGUUUCUCACUCCAUAUCUAAAUCUGCUGUUUGACAAAAUUAGCCAUGACACAUACAGAAUGAAUUGUUUUGUUUCUAAUUUUUUUAUGCCUUUCAGUAUGAAUGGGUUACAAGCAUUUGAUACACAUUUUGCUCUUACACAUGUGGACAUUAAUGAGGAUUGGAUAGUUGGGCCUGCUGCACCUAAUAAGAAUGCUGGGUGUUUAAGACUCUGUCUUCCAGCAGAGCUUUCUGCACAUCAGACUUUCUUGUAUUUGAGUGUAUUGUCCUCCAGUCUUACAAUUGUCUUUGUAGCAUCCUCAUGUGAUGUCAGACACGUAAUGAAGAAGAAAAUAUCUGUGCUUAUAUAGUGUCUUGCAGUAUAUGAUCUCAGCGUGUCCUGCAGACAGUAGUGAAUUAAGGUUCAUGACACUGCUGAUAUUUCUGUUGUKUUGUUGUUGUUGUUUGUGUUUUGAUAAGUGAGGAAAUGGCAACACAAAAUAUCUGCAAAAUGCCUCUUAAGAGAACAGCUGGAACUAGAACAAUAUCCCCCUUGCCCUUGCUUUGGAGUUAAAGGAAAUGUUCUAAAAUGAAGUAUGUAAGUGGAUUGAGUGUCUGAUCACUUAGUAAUGUUUCAUGUUUCAUUAAUAACUUUUCUUUCAAGAACUUUUUAAAGAUGUCAUGUUCUGACACUGAUUGUUGAUACUGAAGCACAGUACCUGUGUGUGUUUAUUCUUGGGCAAGGAGUUAACAUUUAGCAUUGAAAGAUUUUUUGUUUGUUUGUUUGUUUUUUAAUCAUCCAGUGCAUGAGACUGAAAUAAUUUGAAGUAUUAGUUUGGAAGGCGGAAGUGAAUGACACAGUAAUAUUUCCUUAAUCUUUUCCUUGAGAGCAGAGGAGGAGAAGAGCUUGGAAGAAUCUUUUCUGGUACGUUGCAGUUCCUGGUUAAAUACUAGUACCUAGCAAAUAAUCCAAGUAGAGGCUGGAAGCUUAGAGAUGAGGUUGCAGCAAAGACAACCUGUUCUUUUAUUCCUGUGUGAUGGAGUGCUGUAAGGAGUAAUACUUCGAUCAGAAGUUACCUCAGCAUGCUUCCAGAACACAUGCAUAUACAGCAAAAGCACACUCUAACAGUUUGUUCUUAGCCUUGCCCAGCAGGAAAGCACUAGCUGUGCUCUCUAAGGCAUUGGAGGUGGGUUUUGUUCUGUGUCUGACUGCUGUGUGUUAGAGACAGUUCACUGCUCUUUAUGAUGAGUAGAGCUUUGCGUUUUAGUUAGAAGCUGCAUUUGCCUCUGUAGAAUAGAAGUAAGAAUUGACUAUGCCAGACUUGGAUGUAUAGCAGCUUCUUUCUCCAACCUAGAAAAUGGAAAUGAAGCUCGGAGCAUAACUAUGACUGACCACCAACUGAUUAAAGUUGCUGCUCUGCAUUUAUAAAUACACUAUAAAUAAAUAUAUAUUGAGUACAGAUUAGUUUUGAAGU